GCCAUGCAUGUCUAAGUAUAAGCAAUUAUACAGCGAAACUGCGAAUGGCUCAUUAUAUAAGUUAUCGUUUAUUUGAUAGUACCUUACUACUUGGAUAACCGUGGUAAUUCUAGAGCUAAUACAUGCUAAAAAUCCCGACUUCGGAAGGGAUGUAUUUAUUAGAUUAAAAACCAAUGCCCUCUGGGCUCCUUGGUGAUUCAUAAUAACUUUUCGAAUCGCAUGGCCUUGCGCCGGCGAUGGUUCAUUCAAAUUUCUUCCCUAUCAACUUUCGAUGUUUGGGUAUUGGCCAAACAUGGUCGCAACGGGUAACGGAGGGUUAGGGCUCGACCCCGGAGAAGGAGCCUGAGAAACGGCUACUACAUCCAAGGAAGGCAGCAGGCGCGCAAAUUACCCAAUCCCGAUUCGGGGAGGUAGUGACAAUAAAUACUGAUACAGGGCUCUUUUGGGUCUUGUAAUUGGAAUGAGUACAAUUUAAAUCCCUUAACGAGGAACAAUUGGAGGGCAAGUCUGGUGCCAGCAGCCGCGGUAAUUCCAGCUCCAAUAGCGUAUAUUAAAGUUGUUGUGGUUAAAAAGCUCGUAGUUGAACCUUGGGCCUGGCUGGCCGGUCCGCCUCACCGCGUGUACUGGUCCGGCCGGGCCUUUCCCUCUGUGGAACCUCAUGCCCUUCACUGGGUGUGGCGGGGAAACAGGACUUUUACUUUGAAAAAAUUAGAGUGCUCCAGGCAGGCCUAUGCUCGAAUACAUUAGCAUGGAAUAAUGAAAUAGGACGUGUGGUUCUAUUUUGUUGGUUUCUAGGACCGCCGUAAUGAUUAAUAGGGACAGUCGGGGGCAUCAGUAUUCAAUUGUCAGAGGUGAAAUUCUUGGAUUUAUUGAAGACUAACUACUGCGAAAGCAUUUGCCAAGGAUGUUUUCAUUAAUCAGGAACGAAAGUUAGGGGAUCGAAGACGAUCAGAUACCGUCGUAGUCUUAACCAUAAACUAUGCCGACUAGGGAUCGGACGAUGUUAUUUUUUGACGCGUUCGGCACCUUACGAGAAAUCAAAGUGCUU
rnacentral:rRNA from 1 species